GAUGAACGCUAGCUACAGGCUUAACACAUGCAAGUCGAGGGACCGGCGCACGGGUGAGUAACACGUAUCCAACCUGCUCUUUACUCGGGGCUAGCCUUUCGGAAGAAAGAUUAAUACCCGAUAUAAAGGAUGGGGAUGCGUUCCAUUAGGUUGUUGGUGAGGUAACGGCUCACCAAGCCUUCGAUGGAUAUGGGUUCUGAGAGGAAGGACCCCGACAGUGAAACUGGGACCCGACCCAAACGCCUACGGGAGGCAGCAGUGAUGAGUAUUGGGAAGUGGGCGCUAGCCUGAAACAGCCAAGUAGCGAGAAGGAUGAAGGGUUAUAGGUCGUAAACUUUGUUUAUAUAAGAAGAGGUAUUAUAUGAAUAAGGAUCGGCUAACUACGUGCCAGCCGCCGCGGUAAUUC
rnacentral:rRNA from 1 species